rnacentral:rRNA from 1 species
UACGGGAGGCAGCAGUGGGGAAUAUUGCACAAUGGGCGCAAGCCUGAUGCAGCCAUGCCGCGUGUAUGAAGAAGGCCUUCGGGUUGUAAAGUACUUUCAGUCGUGAGGAAGGUGUUAAGGUUAAUAACCUUAGCAAUUGACGUUAGCGACAGAAGAAGCACCGGCUAACUCCGUGCCAGCAGCCGCGGUAAUACGGAGGGUGCGAGCGUUAAUCGGAAUUACUGGGCGUAAAGGGCACGCAGGCGGUUAAUUAAGUUGGAUGUGAAAUCCCCGGGCUUAACCUGGGAAUGGCAUUCAAGACUGGUUAGCUAGAGUCUUGUAGAGGGGGGUAGAAUUCCAUGUGUAGCGGUGAAAUGCGUAGAGAUGUGGAGGAAUACCGGUGGCGAAGGCGGCCCCUGGACAAAGGCUGACGCUCAUGUGCGAAAGCGUGGGGAGCAAAC